rnacentral:lncRNA from 1 species
GAAAACCAACCAGUGUUUUGAGGUACUGGGGGACUUGCAACAACAGGAUGCUCUUUCUAGCCCUGGACUGGACAGGGCAAGAAGGAUUGGGGUUUUCUGGACACAGAAACAAAGGCAGAGGCAGAGCAAAGUCAUCCAGAAAGGAGCCAGAACAGAAGCGUCUGGGACUAUAGUUUUGAGGAAAGAGAUAACAAAGAUUCUGGGCUAUUAAAACAAAACCAGUGAAUGACAAAGUGCAGAAUGGAGCAUAAGAAUGGUGUUUGGAGAAUGUGGGUCCAGGAGACCCAGGCAUAACAGUUUAGACAAAUAGAUGGUUCAAGCUCUGGUGUUUAUACGGGCAGUGGAGACAGAUGAGAAGAGGGAAGGCAAUCCUAACAGCACUUAAAUAUCUCUUCUAAGAAUGUGGAAAAUGUUUCUGUGAGCAGAAAGAAAUCCAGCUCAACGAUGCCCACCUUGGAUCUGCCUCAACACCAUUUGCAGAUACAACACAUUCCCUUCAAAC